GACAGCAGUAGCCGCGGUAAUGCGUAGGUGGCAAGCGUUGUCCGGAAUUAUUGGGCGUAAAGGGCUCGCAGGCGGUUUCUUAAGUCUGAUGUGAAAGCCCCCGGCUCAACCGGGGAGGGUCAUUGGAAACUGGGAAACUUGAGUGCAGAAGAGGAGAGUGGAAUCCCACGUGUAGCGGUGAAAUGCGUAGAGAUGUGGAGGAACACCAGUGGCGAAGGCGACUCUCUGGUCUGUAACUGACGCUGAGGAGCGAAAGCGUGGGGAGCGAACAGGAUUAGAUACCCCCGUAGUCCCUGUCUCUUAUAC
rnacentral:rRNA from 1 species